GGUUUCGGGGCGCCCCUGGCUGAGAGUUGCCAGGAGAGAGAUAUAAAGGGAAGUGACGGUUUCGCGGCGGCCUCCGAAGAGACCCAAAUGGCCCUUGAGCAGAAAAGGGGAAGAGUGAAAGAGUGGAGAUGUAUUGCAGGACGAAGGUGAUCUUUGCAGAGAAAUUCUCACUGAGAGGGGGGAAAGCAAAUACAUGCAAACAUGUGGAAACCCAAGCAAAAAGAGUUUCAGAACAGUGAGGAAGUGGGAUAAGCAACGAGGAAGAAAAGGACAGAAUGUGAAAGAACCGUGGGAGACAAAAAGAGGUGCCUGAAAGGAAACAGUAAAAGCGAGGCAGCAGACUUUUCCAACACCAGGAAGGAGGCGCAAAGAUUACUCCGACAGAACGAAGUGCAUUGACGAGCAACAAAUGGAUAGACUUUUUUUAAAGUACUUUAAGGUACAUAACGGCGAGCGCGAGGAAGAUACAAGUGCUUUACCGGGCAUAAAAAAUAUAAGAUCAAAGGAAGGAAAAACGUGAGAUCUGAAGAAGUUGGAACAACCAACUGUGCACGAAAGGGUGAAGAAAUUCAAUAUAAGUCGCCUGGCGCGAAGAGGAAGUUUGGAAGGCAAUGUGCUUGCAGUAAACAGAUGAUGGUGUGUGCUUGUAUCCGCAUGGACUUCAUUCUUCGGUGCAGAAGUUUCAAAAGAGGUAAAUGACAAAUCGAGUGAGUGCACAGAGGAGCCCUGUUGAAGCCUGGAGGACCAGUGGAUUGGAUAAUUAAUGCAAAAUGACUGAUGGCUGUUGAAGAAGGCAAGUCCUGCAAAGAGGAUUGUGCGUGAUCAAUGAAGCAUCACUGACUGACAGUUUCCUUCGAUCUUACACCCAGAUCCAACUACCGGAACGAGGACUUGUCACCAGAGGCCGGAGGCUACUCUCUACAUGCUUGCAAUGCAACGCAAAACACACAAAAAAGGGAAGAGAAAAAGGACGCUUCUUAAAAACAGUCUUGCAAAAAAAACGCAGGAGGGGACGAUAGCAGGUUUCCAAAUUUAAGAAUAGGGAGCACGUGGAUACACAGUGGAAAACAAAAUCCCAAACACGGAUUGUGUGAAAGCGGUUUCUCUACCAUUAUCUUCCCCUGACAAGUGAAUUUCUGCCGCUUGAUUCUUGAUAGCAAGAGUGUGAAUAUGGAGCUCCAACUCUGAACCUGGUUAAGGAUCCGCCACGUAUACUGCGUAAUCGCCCUGCUGCUUAAGUAAGCACAAUGUAAUGGGAGUUUAGUACAAUGUAAACUGCUCCGCCGCGAGCUCUCAAAUCAACUUGAGGGGAUGAGAUGGCCUCUCCAACAAAUUUUGCGCCUAUAAAAAUAUUAAACAAAUUGCUUAGGUUCUAAUCUGGAUUCCUCAGUCAUACAUUCCCAUAGAAAUAUCGACACUGUUAGAACUCGCAGCUUUGCUGCUAAAUUUAGCAACUGAGAGCGUUUACUUUCAGGCGCACGGGGUGUGUUUUAUCACAAAUAUAUCUCGUCAGUAAUCAAAGAAACUGGUCUCCUUAAAAUCAAAAUUCCACUGACAUUUUAGUCCAAUAGUACAAGAUAAUUUUAAGUCAACAAUUUCUAUCGAUUGUCCAUUUACAGGGGAAAAAUCCCUACUAGCUCCAGAUUUAAUUCUUGCUAGCUCGAUAAGUUUUUUUUAGCAUUUUAUUAUAAAUUUUAAUGUUACGUUACUAUGAACAGCAGGCCAAAGGCGGUCGAGCUUACAUUAUUCGAGUAAGCUAUUAGCAUUUUCUUUUGUGGAUAUUGUUGCUUGGGCAGAUUUUUUUUAAUGGAUUUGGCGAUUUCUGAUUAAAUCCAUCACAAUCUUUCAUUUACGGGAGGACUCACGUGCCGCAAAUGUACGCGAGGUGCGGUUAAACCUUCAACUGGAGAUAAAUGUUUUGAGUUUUUCUUUAUGUAUCCACGAGUAAUUAUUUAAACAAUUGUUUAAUUUGUUUUGCAUUUGCGCGACAAACGAGCAGCUUAUUUCUGACAAUAUAUCAGAUUUUCUUUAAAAUAACAUAGACUUUAGUCAAUGCUUUUUGUCGCUUGGCCUUACUUUCUGUUUGAUGUCCAUGGUUAGCGUUGGGGGGUUCCUGUCAGUUUAAUAGUCGCUACUUUUUAAGAAUAAGGGAAAUAAACUUGAGCGUUCACAACAGAAACUUGUCCAAAGGGUUAUGCUUAAACUAAAAGGAUUUUAUGACUUGUCGGAGCUGUUAAUUAUCAAUGUAUUGCAUAGCAAGGUGACGAAAACACAAUCGAUGCUCAAUAUGUGAGAUAGUUAUUAGCAAUCGCUAUCUGCUGAUGAAUUUAUGUAUUGUAGUGAAUUUAAUUACCGAUCUAAAUAAAUGAUAUACACUGCA